rnacentral:rRNA from 1 species
GAUGAACGCUAGCGAUAGGCUUAACACAUCUAGUCGAGGGGCAGCAUGAUCUUAGCUUGUAAGGUCGAUGGCGACCGGCGCACGGGUGCGUAACGCGUAUGCAACUUGCCUUACAGAGGGGGAUAACCCGUUGAAAGACGGACUAAAACCGCAUACACUUGUAUUAUUGCAUGAUAUUACAAGGAAAUAUUUAUAGCUGUAAGAUAGGCAUGCGUCCCAUUACUGGUUGGUGAGGUAACGGCUCACCAAGGCGACGAUGGGUAGGGGAACUGAGAGGUUUAUCCCCCACACUGGUAUGAGACACGGACCUAGACUCCUACGGGAGGCAGCAGUGAGGAAUAUUGGUCAAUGGGCGAGAGCCUGAACCAGCCAAGUCGCGUGAAGGAAGACAGUCCUAAGGAUUGUAAACUUCUUUUAUACGGGAAUAACGGGCGAUACGAGUAUUGCAUUGAAUGUACCGUAAGAAUAAGCAUCGGCUAACUCCGUGCCAGCAGCCGCGGCAAUACGGAGGAUGCGAGCGUUAUCCGGAUUUAUUGGGUUUAAAGGGUGCGUAGGUUGUUCGGUAAGUCAGCGGUGAAACCUGAGCGCUCAACGUUCAGCCUGCCGUUGAAACUGCCGGGCUUGAGUUCAGUGGCGGCAGGCGGAAUUCGUGGUGUAGCGGUGAAAUGCAUAGAUAUCACGAGGAACUCCGAUUGCGAAGGCAGCUUGCCAUACUGCGACUGACACUGAAGCACGAAGGCGUGGGUAUCAAACAGGAUUAGAUACCCUGGUAGUCCACGCAGUAAACGAUGAUUACUAGGAGUUUGCGAUAUACCGUCAAGCUUCCACAGCGAAAGCGUUAAGUAAUCCACCUGGGGAGUACGCCGGCAACGGUGAAACUCAAAGGAAUUGACGGGGGCCCGCACAAGCGGAGGAACAUGUGGUUUAAUUCGAUGAUACGCGAGGAACCUUACCCGGGAUUGAAAUGUAGAUGACGGAUGGUG